rnacentral:rRNA from 1 species
UACGGGGGGGCAAGCGUUGUUCGGAAUUACUGGGCGUCAAGGGCUCGUAGGCGGCCAACUAAGUCAGACGUGAAAUCCCUCGGCUUAACCGGGGAACUGCGUCUGAUACUGGAUGGCUUGAGAUUGGGAGAGGGAUGCGGAAUUCCAGGUGUAGCGGUGAAAUGCGUAGAUAUCUGGAGGAACACCGGUGGCGAAGGCGGCAUCCUGGACCAACACUGACGCUGAGGAGCGAAAGCCAGGGGAGCAAACGGG